rnacentral:rRNA from 1 species
AACGCUGGCGGCGUGCCUAAUACAUGCAAGUCGAGCGCAGGAAGCUCACGGAACUCUUCGGAGGGAAGUGAAGGGAAUGAGCGGCGGACGGGUGAGUAACACGUAAGGAACCUGCCCCAAGGAUUGGGAUAACUCCGAGAAAUCGGAGCUAAUACCGAAUAGUUCUUCAGACCGCAUGGUCUGAUGAUGAAAGGCGCUCCGGCGUCACCUUGGGAUGGCCUUGCGGUGCAUUAGCUAGUUGGUGGGGUAAUGGCCCACCAAGGCGACGAUGCAUAGCCGACCUGAGAGGGUGAUCGGCCACACUGGGACUGAGACACGGCCCAGACUCCUACGGGAGGCAGCAGUAGGGAAUCUUCCACAAUGGACGAAAGUCUGAUGGAGCAACGCCGCGUGAGUGAUGAAGGUUUUCGGAUCGUAAAACUCUGUUGUAAGGGAAGAACAAGUACGAGAGGGAAUGCUCGUACCUUGACGGUACCUUGCGAGAAAGCCACGGCUAACUACGUGCCAGCAGCCGCGGUAAUACGUAGGUGGCAAGCGUUGUCCGGAAUUAUUGGGCGUAAAGCGCGCGCAGGCGGCCUUUUAAGUCUGAUGUGAAAGCCCCCGGCUCAACCGGGGAGGGUCAUUGGAAACUGGAAGGCUUGAGUACAGAAGAGAAGAGUGGAAUUCCAUGUGUAGCGGUGAAAUGCGUAGAGAUGUGGAGGAACACCAGUGGCGAAGGCGACUCUUUGGUCUGUAACUGACGCUGAGGCGCGAAAGCGUGGGGAGCAAACAGGAUUAGAUACCCUGGUAGUCCACGCCGUAAACGAUGAGUGCUAGGUG